rnacentral:pre_miRNA from 1 species
GUGGGGUGUGGGCCAGAUCCCAGGAGCUGGGCCUGGGCAGCCCCAUAGGCUGAGGAGGAAGGCAGGCCGCUGCUCCCUAGGUGAGACCCCAC